GCCUAGCUUGCUAGGUGGAUUAGUGGCGCACGGGUGAGUAAUAUAUAGAUAACGUGCCUCUUAGUCUGGGAUAGCCAUUGGAAACGAUGAUUAAUACUAGAUACUCCUUCUAACUCUAAUGUUAGUCGGGAAAGUUUUUCGCUAAGAGAUCGGUCUAUAUCCCAUCAGCUAGUUGGUAGUGUAAGAGACUACCAAGGCAAUGACGGGUAGCGGGUUUGAGAGGAUGAUCCGCCACACUGGUACUGAGACACGGACCAGACUCCUACGGGAGGCAGCUGUGAGGAAUAUUGCACAAUGGAGGAAACUCUGAUGCAGCAACGCCGCGUGGAGGAUGACGCAUUUCGGUGUGUAAACUCCUUUUAUAUGUCAAGAAAAUGACGGUAGCAUAUGAAUAAGCACCGGCUAACUCCGUGCCAGCAGCCGCGGUAAUACGGAGGGUGCAAGCGUUAUUCGGAAUCACUGGGCGUAAAGGACGCGUAGGCGGGAUGC
rnacentral:rRNA from 1 species